GAUGAACGCUGGCGGCGUGCCUAAUACAUGCAAGUCGAGCGAAUGGAUUAAGAGCUUGCUCUUAUGAAGUUAGCGGCGGACGGGUGAGUAACACGUGGGUAACCUGCCCAUAAGACUGGGAUAACUCCGGGAAACCGGGGCUAAUACCGGAUAACAUUUUGAACCGCAUGGUUCGAAAUUGAAGGGCGGCUUCGGCUGUCACUUAUGGAUGGACCCGCGUCGCAUUAGCUAGUUGGUGCGGUAACGGCUCACCAAGGCAACGAUGCGUAGCCGACGUGAGAGGGUGAACGGCCACACUGGGAAUGAGACACGGCCCAGACUCCUACGGGAGGUAGCAGUAGGGAAUCUUCCGCAAUGGACGAAAGUUUGACGGAGCAACGCCGCGUGAGUGAUGAAGGCUUUCGGGUCGUAAAACUCUGUUGUUAGGGAAGAACAAGUGCUAGUUGAAUAAGCUGGCACCUUGACGGUACCUAACCAGAAAGCCACGGCUAACUACGUGCCAGCAGCCGCAGUAA
rnacentral:rRNA from 1 species